rnacentral:rRNA from 1 species
UAGGGAAUAUUGGUCAAUGGAGGCAACUCUGAACCAGCCAUGCCGCGUGCAGGAUGAAGGCGUUCUGCGUUGUAAACUGCUUUUGAUCGGGAACAAAUGACUCUUGCGAGAGUAGCUGAGUGUACCGAUAGAAUAAGCCACGGCUAACUACGUGCCAGCAGCCGCGGUAAUACGUAGGUGGCAAGCGUUGUCCGGAUUUAUUGGGUUUAAAGGGUGCGUAGGCGGCAAAAUAAGUCAGUGGUGAAAGCCGAUCGCUUAACGAUCGAAUUGCCAUUGAUACUGCUUUGCUUGAGUACAGUUGAGGUAGGCGGAAUUGACAGUGUAGCGGUGAAAUGCAUAGAUAUUGUCAAGAACACCAAUUGCGUAGGCAGCUUACUAAAGUGUUACUGACGCUGAGGCACGAAAGUGCGGGGAUCAAACAGGAUUAGAUACCCCCGUAGUCC